GCAACUGGGGCGACCCUGGGGGCUGUGGCCCAUCCACACCAGGGCCAUGGUCACAGCGGACAGCCUGGGACCCCAGCCACCAGCCUCCAUUCCCGGGGCUUCUUGGAGAUGAGGCUGAAAGCACAGGCUCCACAGACGCAGAGGCCGCUCCUCAGGCCCUGCGCUGUCCUCCUUUCCUGUGCCAGUGACAGUGCCACCCCCUGACCUGACAACUCUCAGUUAUACAUAAAGGGAAGACCACACCACCCCCUGUGGGGGACACCUCCAGAGGGAAGGCAAGACACUCAGACUUCAAGCUCCGGGGUCAGGACCCCACCUGUUGAGUCCUUGGUGAACGCCUGCCCGAAACUGCAAACCCCAUUCUGAGGGAACUGAGGGACAGGAGUCAGCCUUGGGAAGAGGCGGGAGAAGCACCGCGAGCAGUGGUCCUGCUUCCAGCCACUCCGACAACUGGGAAGUCCAGGCCACACUCCACACCCAGAACCCGGCCCCACAGAGCCACCCAACAGGUGCCAGCCCAGGGACCGAAGGUUGAGAGCGGAUGGCAGCAAGGAUGGAAGUAAUCCCAAGGCCUAGGGCCUGCCGGAGCCCGUGCUCAGCCCCCUGCAGGCUCCCGGGGCCCCCACAGUUGGGAAGAGGGGCGAGAGUGGGUGGCUCUGAGCUGAACUGGCUGAAAUUCUGCCCUGAAACAUGCAGUUCUUUCUCUGCCGCGAGCUUCUCCGUGCUGGGCACUGCGCAGCCCCUUCACGGGUAAAGGGGAGACCUGCGAACCGCUGGCAGCUUUGUCGCCAGGACCCAGUAUUCGCACUCAGAGAUGCCUCAGCAUUUACCGUCAAGACACAGGGGCUGGAACCAGGGCCCAGAGGGGCACCAUUCACCACAGGGUUGCCGGCCUCGCUGGCCCCAGAGUGCUCACAGGUGGCCGGCCCUUAAGCGGACCCUGUGCGUAUGAAAUACAGCCCUGUCCCAAAGACUCGACAUGAGAAAUGAUUGCAGGAGGCAUUGUUGUAUGUUGAUUACCUGUUGAGAUGACCACAUUUGGAGUAUGUUGAGUUCAAAGCUCAUUAUUGAAACGAAUGGCACCUGUCCCGUUUUCCUUUUGUACAUGGCUAUCACAAAAUGGAAACUUUGCUGUGUGGCUCACACACAUUCUGGUUCCUGUACAGUGCUGGUCUGGAACUCGGCUGCAGGGAGGGGGAGGGUGGGACGGAGAGGCGCAUGGUGGGACAGAGAGGCGCAUGGUGGAUGGAGAGGCACAGGGCCUUGGGGACACACUUGGGAGGGCACUAGCCCACAGGGAGCCCAGCGGGGUGAGGGGGGGCAUGUGGCUGUGAGGAGGAGCCCCUACCUCACUCUGCUCAGUGCCUGGGCCUCACCCGGGGCUUCCGGUCUCCCUGAUCAGGGCUUGGCCUUCCUGGCCUCUGAGCAACGCCUUCGGGUCCUACUCCCACUACGUGCCUGGGUUGGGUCCUCUGCAUCAGGCCCUGCUUUGCACCGGACGGAAGGAGGGAGGGAGCAGGGGAGCCCGUCCUCCCAUGUCAGGGUCACCUCAGUCACCCCACCAGCUGCUGCUUCGAGACCAGCAGCGCCACCCCCCUCUCAGCUGCCACCCCCUUCAGACCGCCAGGGAAAAUGAAUAAGCAAUUAGCUAUCCCUCCCAGCCACCCUGCGCCUGAGGCCCACUCCCUCGCCUGCCUUUCCGCACCUCCUUUCUCU